UACAGAGGGUGGCGAGCGUUAAUCGGAAUUACUGGGCGUAAAGCGUGCGUAGACGGUUAUUUAAGUCGGAUGUGAAAGCCCCGGGCUCAACCUGGGAAUGGCAUUUGGGACUGCAAGGCUGGAGUACGGCAGAGGAGAAUGGAAUUCUUGGUGUAGCGGUGAAAUGCGCAGAUAUCAGGAGGAACACCAGUGGCGAAGGCGGUUCUCUGGGCCGAUACUGACACUGAGAAGCGAAAGCGUGGGGAGCGAACAGG
rnacentral:rRNA from 1 species